CCAAAAAUGGUAACUCCUUUAAAGACUUUAGGUGUAGUGUUUCCUUUAUAUAAUGUAUUUUAUUAUGGAUUUUUUGUAAAAUUCCAAUUAAAAAUUUUUGUUUGUCAAGCAAUUGAGCACAUGAAGACAUUUUAUUUACGACAAAUAAAGUGCCAGCAGUCGCGGUCACACUUUAGUAAAUAUAAAGAUAUACAGAACUAUUAUACAUUCUUUAUAUAUUAAUAGUGAAAUAUAAAUAUAUUUAAUAUAUUACUGUUUCUUUAUUAAAAACUGAUUACAAACAGGGAUUAGAUACCCCUUUAUGCAGUACAUAUAUCUUCGUUCUGAAUAAUAAAACUUUUAAAGUCCAAACUCAACCAUCAUGGCGGUAGUUAAAACAUUUAGGGGAACUUAUGAGAUAAAUGAUAACCAUCAAGAUAACGUACUGUAGAUAAAAUUUUGUAUACCGUCGUCGUAGAUUAACUAUAAUAGUUUAUCAUCCUGAAGUAUAUGAUAAGACAGAUCAAGGUACAGACUAUACUACUGUCUUCGCGAGUUACUAUAAAAAUUUAAUUCAUUAAACACUUUUAAUACUGUUAAAUGAAGGACUUAAAAGUAAUAAGUAUUAAGUAUAAAUUAUGAAUAUAACUUUAACUGUGC
rnacentral:rRNA from 1 species